CGCAAUCCCAUUUUAAUGCAUUAUAUACAGUGUCGACCAAUCACAGGGUGAGGGACGCAUGCUCACAGUCAGCCUUUUUUAACGGUAAAGUGUGACACCUUGAACAGUGUGUGUCUACCAGUGAGUGGCUAAACGGAGAGCAGAUGUUAUUGGCAGACAUCUGGUUCGUGGGGUACCCGAUACUAAGUAGCGGCAGCUUAUGGCAGCAAUUUACAAACAAGGUUAUAAACGAG